rnacentral:rRNA from 1 species
AACGGAGGCGCCCCAAGGUUCCCUCAGAAUGGUUGGAAAUCAUUCGAAGAGUGCAAAGGCAGAAGGGAGCUUGACUGCGAGACCUACAAGUCGAGCAGGGACGAAAGUCGGGCUUAGUGAUCCGGUGGUACCGCAUGGAAGGGCCAUCGCUCAACGGAUAAAAGCUACCCUGGGGAUAACAGGCUUAUCUCCCCCAAGAGUCCACAUCGACGGGGAGGUUUGGCACCUCGAUGUCGGCUCAUCGCAUCCUGGGGCUGAAGUAGGUCCCAAGGGUUGGGCUGUUCGCCCAUUAAAGCGGUACGCGAGCUGGGUUCAGAACGUCGUGAGACAGUUCGGUCCCUAUCUGUCGUGGGCGUAGGAAAUUUGAGAGGAGCUGUCCUUAGUACGAGAGGACCGGGAUGGACGUACCGCUGGUGUACCAGUUGUUCCGCCAGGAGCACCGCUGGGUAGCUAUGUACGGAAGGGAUAAGCGCUGAAAGCAUCUAAGCGUGAAGCCCCCCUCAAGAUGAGAUUUCCCAAUUAGUAAGACCCCUUGAAGACGACGAGGUAGAUAGGUUGGGGGUGGAAGUGCAGUAAUGCAUGGAGCUGACCAAUACUAAUCGGUCGAGGGCUUAUCCUAA